rnacentral:rRNA from 1 species
GAUGAACGCUGGCGGCGUGCCUAACACAUGCAAGUCGAGCGAUGACGCUUUCUUCGGAAAGCUGAUUAGCGGCGGACGGGUGAGUAACACGUGGGCAACCUGCCUUGUAGAGGGGAAUAGCCUUCCGAAAGGAAGAUUAAUACCGCAUAACAUUACUAUGUGGCAUCGCUUGGUAAUCAAAGGAGCAAUCCGCUACAAGAUGGGCCCGCGUCGCAUUAGUUAGUUGGUGGGGUAAUGGCCUACCAAGACGACGAUGCGUAGCCGACCUGAGAGGGUGAUCGGCCACAUUGGGACUGAGACACGGCCCAGACUCCUACGGGAGGCAGCAGUGGGGA